UACGUAGGUCCCGAGCGUUGUCCGGAUUUAUUGGGCGUAAAGCGAGCGCAGGUGGUUUAUUAAGUCUGGUGUAAAAGGCAGUGGCUCAACCAUUGUAUGCAUUGGAAACUGGUAGACUUGAGUGCAGGAGAGGAGAAUGGAAUUCCAUGUGUAGCGGUGAAAUGCGUAGAUAUAUGGAGGAACACCGGUGGCGAAAGCGGCUCUCUGGCCUGUAACUGACACUGAGGCUCGAAAGCGUGGGGAGCAAACAGG
rnacentral:rRNA from 1 species